GACGAACGCUGGCGGCGUGCUUAACACAUGCAAGUCGAACGAGAGCGUAGAGAAAGCUUGCUUUUUCUACAAUCUAGUGGCAAACGGGUGAGUAACGCGUAAACAACCUGCCCUACGGAUGGGGACAACAGCUGGAAACGGCUGCUAAUACCGAAUACGUUCCGAAAGUCGCAUGACUAUCGGAAGAAAGGAUGGCCUCUAUUUAUAAGCUAUCGCCGGAGGAGGGGUUUGCGUCUGAUUAGCUAGUUGGAGGGGUAACGGCCCACCAAGGCGACGAUCAGUAGCCGGUCUGAGAGGAUGGACGGCCACAUUGGAACUGAGACACGGUCCAGACUCCUACGGGAGGCAGCAGUGGGGAAUCUUCCGCAAUGGGCGAAAGCCUGACGGAGCAACGCCGCGUGAGUGAAGACGGCCUUCGGGUUGUAAAGCUCUGUUAUACGGGACGAAUAAUCUUGUGGUUAAUACCCAUGAGAAGUGACGGUACCGUAAGAGAAAGCCACGGCUAACUACGUG
rnacentral:rRNA from 1 species